UACGUAGGGUGCAAGCGUUGUCCGGAAUUAUUGGGCGUAAAGAGCUCGUAGGCGGUUUGUCGCGUCUGCUGUGAAAACUCGGGGCUUAACCCCGGGCCUGCAGUGGGUACGGGCAGACUAGAGUGCGGUAGGGGAGACUGGAAUUCCUGGUGUAGCGGUGAAAUGCGCAGAUAUCAGGAGGAACACCGGUGGCGAAGGCGGGUCUCUGGGCCGUAACUGACGCUGAGGUGCGAAAGCGUGGGGAGCAAGCAGG
rnacentral:rRNA from 1 species